GUCGAGGUCACUCAGUGGGGUAGAGUAACAGUCCAGAAAACUGUCGCUCCUCGAAAGAGGAGCUGAGGGUUCGAAUCCCUCUCUCGACGCCA
rnacentral:tRNA from 1 species